rnacentral:rRNA from 1 species
UAGGGAAUAUUGGACAAUGGGGGCAACCCUGAUCCAGCCAUGCCGCGUGAGUGAAGAAGGCCCUCGGGUUGUAAAGCUCUUUUGUCCGGAAAGAAAAGCAUUCGGUGAAUACCCUGAUGUUCUGCCGGUACCGGAAGAAUAAGCACCGGCUAACUUCGUGCCAGCAGCCGCGGUAAUACGAAGGGUGCAAGCGUUACUCGGAAUUACUGGGCUUAAAGCGUGCGUAGGUGGUUGUUUAAGUCUGAGGUGAAAGCCCUGGGCUCAACCUGGGAAUGGCAAUGGAAACUGGGCAGCUAGAGUGCGGUAGAGGGUAGUGGAAUUCCCGGUGUAGCAGUGAAAUGCGUAGAGAUCGGGAGGAACAUCUGUGGCGAAGGCGACUGCCUGGACCAGCACUGACACUGAGGCACGAAAGCGUGGGGAGC